rnacentral:rRNA from 1 species
ACGAGAUCGCUCAGUGUCUCGUGGGCUCGGAGAUGUGUAUAAGAGACAGGAGAUGAGGUCUCCCUGAGACUUUAGGUCUCCUGAAGGAACGUUGAAGACGACGACGUUGAUAGGCCGGGUGUGUAAGCGCAGCGAUGCGUUGAGCUAACCGGUACUAAUGAACCGUGAGGCUUAACCUU